ACUGCGGAGGAUCAUUAUCAUGUCACUCAGUCAUGCUGNCGCGUGAACUGCACAAACCCACUCCGUGUACCCUCUCCUGUUGCUUCCGCUGGGUCUGGAGCAUUUCAGAUGAGUUGUCUCUNGCACAGUCAAUUGCUGCGUGGGGUUGGCAACUCUCGGUGACUGCUCUGGAUUCACAUGCCCAGCGGGANGNUACUUAAUUGCCGAAUUUACUAUUNNNNCUGUCUGAACUAUGAGCCAAAAA
rnacentral:misc_RNA from 1 species